GUUUGGAAGGUUUUCCAUUGGGUGCAAUGAAAUGCAGAAAGCAGAGCAAGCAGGUGGGUGAGGACAGUGUGUAGUGCUGUGGCUAUGGCAUCUGGUUCCAUCAGCAGGCAAAUUGUAGGGGGUCCAGUGUGGGUGGCAGCAUGUUCCAGACGUGGUCUUUAACCAGCCUCUCAAAGCACCUGCUUAUAAUUGAGACUCUGGGCGCUAGACAAUUGAAAGGAUAUCAGGAUCCGUUGGGAUAAAGAAAUCAAGAUCUGCCCACUGAAUAUGGACUGGCUGCAGGAAUAGAAGGGAUCUGAGCAUCUCGGCUGGAAUGAUGUCAUUCAUCAUACCAGAAAUCAUGCAGCCACGAAAUAAAGAAACACAAUAGAACCCAUUAAAAGAAAACCUCACUCCAGACCAUCAAACACCCAAUGUGCGAGGAAAAAAAACAAGUGGCACAAACAAUAAAAGGUCAACAAAUAACAUUAACCUGAGAAUCCCCAGAAGUGAGGGCUCAGCAUUGUGCCAAUAGCUGCAGGCCACAGCUGCAAAGUUAGUUCAGUUCAGUCCUGAGUGCCCCCAAUCAAAUACUGCAAAGAGCAAAAAAGGUAUAAACAAAAUUGAGAGGGACAUGAUCUGCUGAGACCCCAAAAGUGGGUCCACAACGUUCAGUGCUGAGGCGCGUGGUGCUCGUCCAAAAGCCUCAUGACUGCAGGGCAACAGCCGCACCGAGACCCAGUGGUGUGGGACACAAGACUCCUGCACUGGCAGCAGCAAGAAGAGGCAGGCAGACGGCGCCGAACGCACAUUCGUUUCCCUCUCUCGUCCUCAACGACUUUAAUCUUGCUCACCACUUUAAUCGAUGAGGAGUAAUGGAGCCGACCACGGCUUCGCGUUCCGCCAAUGGGCACGCGGCAUCCAACCCCAGCCACGGCCGGAGCCCCACUCUUUGCUCACGUUCAUGCUGAAUAUCCCAGGAGAUCACAGAAGAGUCAAUCAUUCAGUCAGCCCAAAAAUACAUUCUUAAACAGAAUUACAGGGUGCAGCUCAGAGGAGAAAGAAGUAUACUUCAAUGAAGAGAAUCCAGUAGUUUCAUAAACUGUCUACAAGAUGCUGCCGUUGGUUACUGGUGCCAUCUUGCCAGAAACAUCUGGCAAAAAUGACUACUUCUCUCCUCAUAGAUAAGUCUAACCUCCUAAGUUUCCCCACCAUUUUUUCAUAUAUUUAGAUUUCCAGCAUUUGCAGUUUUUCCCCCUUUAUUGAUAAUGAUCUUUCUGUGGUUCUGUGGCGACCCACUUCCCAGCGCACUCGAACCAGCUCACAAAGUGGCGCAUGCCGGCAUUGAGGCCGGUCCCAAAGAGCGCGCCAAGCCUGCUUCACCAACAAAGGGAAAAGCCCGCGUAUGGGACAGGACUGUGAAUACGCACCCCCUGUAGCAUUCCCGCCCAAGGAGGGCGGGAUCAGGAAGGCUUUAAAGCGAGGCCACAAAGUUUGAAUAAACCUCUUUUGUAACUGCAGCUC